GACGAACGCUGGCGGCGUGCCUAAUACAUGCAAGUUGAGCGAUGAAGAUUGGUGCUUGCACCAAUUUGAAGAGCAGCGAACGGGUGAGUAACGCGUGGGGAAUCUGCCUUUGAGCGGGGGACAACAUUUGGAAACGAAUGCUAAUACCGCAUAACAACUUUAAACAUAAGUUUUAAGUUUGAAAGAUGCAAUUGCAUCACUCAAAGAUGAUCCCGCGUUGCAUUAGCUAGUUGGUGAGGUAAAGGCUCACCAAGGCGAUGAUACAUAGCCGACCUGAGAGGGUGAUCGGCCACAUUGGGACGGAGACACGGCCCAAACUCCUACGGGAGGCAGCAGUAGGGAAUCUUCGGCAAUGGACGAAAGUCUGACCGAGCAACGCCGCGUGAGUGAAGAAGGUUUUCGGAUCGUAAAACUCUGUUGGUAGAGAAGAACGUUGGUGAGAGUGGAAAGCUCAUCAAGUGACGGUAACUACCCAGAAAGGGACGGCUAACUACGUG
rnacentral:rRNA from 1 species